AGCUGUUGCCAUAGGAGCCUUGUUGAUAGCAACCAGUCGGAAAAACAUUUCAAUUUAUAAAUAAGAGAUGUCGCCAUUGCAGCCACAGCUAUUAUCUGCUUUGCUUUGUAAAAUGAAUUCUCUAGAUGACAAUCUUUAUGUUCCACGAAGAACCUUAGAAGAAAAAUUUCCACAGACGUCUGAUAGAGACUUACAGACUACACAUGUGACAGUAAAAUCUACACCUAUUAUUAAAAAUUCUGUUUACUGGAAAGCAACAGAAAGGGCUCCUGGGCAGAUGUGUUAUACAGGAAUAACAAACCUCAACAGCAGAGCAACUUAUAAUAGGUGGCUCAAGUCUUAUACCGAAAGAGAGAAGGAAAGUCUUCCACCUGUCUAUGCUGUUCAGAUGAGAGAAACCUGCUGCUGUGACUCUACACUGCCAGUGCAGUAUCCAUCCAGGUGGAGAGAUAUUCCUAUACCUAGGUAAAGGUUUUGCUGCUCUUCAUCCCAAAUUUUCCAGGAAAUGAAACUUACAUACUUCACAAACUAUAAUUUGUGCACCUACACAAUCCUUAUUGUCCUUGAUGUAUUUAGCUAAUGGUUAGUACUAAUGUUGGAAUCUCGUUUAAAACCUAUAUUUUGAAGAUUUUUCCCCAGAUCAUACUUUUAUGAAAAAGGGUUUCAAUAUAUGACAUUACCAAAUAUUUUGCAUGAUAUGAAUCAUGUUGAGAGAGGGGAAUAGGGUGGAUGGUAAAACAAGAGUUGAAAAAUGUCGGAUAGGUCAGGUACCUUAAGCCUUGACUUGCACCCACUCCACUAUGACUGCAAGCUCUGGUAUUUCUGUGUGAACUCAUCAAAAUAUUAAUAUCUCAGAACAUUGCAUUUCCCAUGUUGUGCCUACUGGAUCUUGAAGUUUCACCAACCUGAUUAUGAAUGUAUUCAUCAACAUUAUUUGGUUUCUGUCAAUGAUUUGUCGUGGUUUCCAUGCUGUGCUUCUCUAUUAUGAAUUUAUACUGUCAGAAAUAAAAACCCAAUAACACAUCUUUGUUUAUUCUACUAAGAUAAUUAAUGUAGAGAAUAAAAACAGAAAAUGCUGGAGUAAUUCAAUGUGUCUGGCA